UACGGAGGGUGCGAGCGUUAAUCGGAAUUACUGGGCGUAAAGGGCGCGUAGGCGGCCGAUCAAGUCAGGUGUGAAAGCCCACGGCUCAACCGUGGAGGUGCAUUUGAAACUGGUUGGCUUGAGUAUCGGAAGGGGAGAUGGAAUUCCCGGUGUAGAGGUGAAAUUCGUAGAUAUCGGGAGGAAUACCGGUGGCGAAGACGAUCUUCUGGACGAAUACUGACGCUGAGGCGCGAAAGCGUGGGGAG
rnacentral:rRNA from 1 species